CAAAGAAUAGUUUAGUUUAGAAUCCUAGCUUUGGGAGUUAGGGGUGAAAGUUAAAAUCUUUCUUCUUUGA
rnacentral:tRNA from 1 species